rnacentral:lncRNA from 1 species
CUGUCUUUGCAAGCUUCAGAAAUACAACUUUCUUUAGGGAGAAGGAGAGUGAGACCAGAACCUAUUCAGAAGCCGACAGCUCCUACCUGGAUGGAUGUUAGAACAGGAUGAGGAAACCUAAAGGACAUGGGGCCAUGUUAAACAACUCCCAGGAAUGUAAUCAGCAAAAUACAGACUGUGGGAAGUUCUACAGGACAAACGACCAAUUUUCUUCAGCCAGUAAUUCAUGGACAAAAGAUGAAAGCAAAACAUAUAGAUUAAAAGAGACUUGGAUAUAUAAACCAAUUGCAACAUGUUUUGGAAAAUGAUUCAAACCAACAAACUAUAAAAAAUUAGAAAUUUUGAG